GAUGGUGCCAGUCAGGCUAUCGUAUAUGCACAAAAGACAGUGCUUCUCAACGAUUCACUUUUGUAUAAGGAUUAUUGUUGAAUAAUCCAACAGUAUCAGAUUACCAGUCGCGAAGGGAUACAGUAGCUGUUUCAAGUGCAAGAGAUAGACGAUCACAAAGCGCUGAUACAUGGAUUGAUUGCAGACCAGGAGCAUUGGUUCCUUUAGGAACAGUUCUUCAACCAUCAAUGCGUAGAAGACGUAGUGUCACACAUCUUACAGCUUCAAAAGAAAUUACAGAUGGUACAUCUAGACAUUAUUUUGUUUCAUAAGAACACGACACAGAUAGUGAACUUGAGACAAAACUAUAUAAGGUAAUCUUAUUGUAAAUGGAUUAACUGUUGAUAUAGCUAUAUGACUAUAUGAAA